rnacentral:tRNA from 1 species
GCCUUCACGGUGUAGUGGUCAGCACAUUCGAUGUGUAACCGAGAGGCCUAUGGUUCGAUUCCCGGCGAAGGCG